UACGGAGGGUGCAAGCGUUAAUCGGAAUUACUGGGCGUAAAGCGCACGCAGGCGGUUUGUUAAGUCAGAUGUGAAAUCCCCGGGCUCAACCUGGGAACUGCAUUUGAAACUGGCAAGCUUGAGUCUUGUAGAGGGGGGUAGAAUUCCAGGUGUAGCGGUGAAAUGCGUAGAGAUCUGGAGGAAUACCGGUGGCGAAGGCAGCCCCCUGGGCCAAUACUGACGCUCAUGCACGAAAGCGUGGGGAGCAAACAGG
rnacentral:rRNA from 1 species